ACUUAGUAAAGCAAAGAAGAAAGUUUCACUCCAUAGGCUUCUCAAAUGGCAGUUAAUAAGUCUGAUGUGAUGUCGACAAACUAUCACUUACGAGAAAAUGUCAUAAAAGACAUUAUGUUAUAUCUUCCUAUAAAGUCUUUAUUCAGGUUUAAAAGUGUCUCCAAACAUUGGAAUUGUUUAAUUUCCGAUCCUUAUUUUGCUCGUUGUUACAGUUGUCGUUGUAAUCACUCUCACAAGGCAUCCUUAUGGAACAAGCACUACAAUCCAGACAGUUGAGAAUCACAUCAAAUGACACCUCCUUCAAUGGUUUGGAGAGACAUUACCUACAAUAAAAUAAAUUAUUAGUUUAUUGGUAUUUGUUCUUGUUUCAAGGCUUUAUCAUUGUGAUGGUUUUUGUUCUAAUAAAAGUUUGAUAUUGUACUGAAUAUCUUUAUUUGUUUAUCUAAAUUCAUAUAAUCCUACCUAAUAAAAAUAAUAUUAAUUUUCGCUUUA